CUGAAUUCUGCAGUGACAAACGUUAAAGAACUAUGAAAACACACAGAAGAUUCAUUUCUGAACAACGGACUUAAACGACAGAACAGAAUAACAAUGAGUGAGCGAAGGAACCCUAUUUUUGAGGAUUGGUUGGAGGAUCUUAAAACGAUCAGCAGAAUGACAUUUGACCAAUUCAACGAACGUCUGGAUGCCAUUCAGAACAUAUGUAGAGCUCAACGCAUUGGACUAACGUUGGCCAGCAUGUCUAGGCCUGAGUUUGACGAAUUCCAAGCCUUUCUGUCUGAGUACAUCCAGGAGCUGGAAAGGCCUCAAGAAAGAUCUCAGAAAGCCAAGAAAUUGGUUAAAAAUGCCGUGAAAUGUGCAGGAAAAUGGCUGUUCAGUACACUUCUGAAAAUGCACCAGAACGGCUCUCUGAGGUACUGGAUCGACAUCUGGUAUUUUUAAAUAAACAACUGUUAUGAAAAGCUA